CCAAUAGCGUAUAUUAAAGUUGUUGCAGUUAAAAAGCUCGUAGUUGAACUUCGGGGUUUACCCAUUGGUCAGGCUUAAUUGUCUGUACUGGUGAGAUGAAUCUCUACCUUCUGAGGAACUUUCAUGUCAUUUAUUUGGUGUGAUUGGAAAUCAGGACUGUUACUUUGAAAAAAUUAGAGUGUUUAAAGCAGGCUAACGUCUGAAUACAUUAGCAUGGAAUAAUGAAAUAGGACGGACUGAUUCUAUUUCGUUGGUUUCUAGGAUCACCGUAAUGAUUAAUAGGGAUAGUUGGGGGCAUUAGUAUUCAAUUGUCAGAAGUGAAAUUCUUGGAUUUAUUGAAGACUAACUACUGCGACAGCAUUUGCCAAGGAUGUUUUCAUUAAUCAAGAACGAAAGUUAGGGGAUCGAAGACGAUCAGAUACCGUCGUAGUCUUAACCAUAAACUAUGCCGACUAGGGAUCGGACGAAGUUAAUUUUAUAAUGACGCGUUCGGCACCUUACG
rnacentral:rRNA from 1 species